AUGAGGGGCAUCUUCUCUCUCACAAUGGCGCCGCUCCUCCGCCCUGGCGCCCUCGCCGCGGCGCUACUCGCCCUCGCCGUCGUCGGGGUGGCGCAGGGCCAGCAGGUGGGACUCUUGAGGGUGCCGAACAGGUCCCCGCCCACCAAGGCAAACAUGGACAGGGUGGUGCUCCCCGUGGACAAUGCCGGGGGAUUCGCCGGUUCGUGGAACAUCCUGAGCGAGAACGCGGGCGUGUCCGCGAUGCACCUGGUGGUGAUGCGGCACGGCAAGGCCGUCAUGUUCGACACGACCACGACGGGGCCGUCGCUCAUGCAGCUGCCGGCAGGGAACUGCCGCGUCGACCCCCGGAGCGACCCGCCGGGCGGCAUGGACUGCUCGGCGCACGCCGUGGAGUUCGAUUACAACACUGGCGCGGUCCGGCCUCUCAAGAUCUUAACUGAUACGUGGUGCUCGUCGGGAGCGUUCGACGUGGACGGCAUGCUGGUGCAAACGGGCGGCUACUUCGAAGGGGUGAAGGUUGUGAGACGCCUGAACCCACAAGGAAAUGCCGACUGGAUCGAGUUCCCCAAUACCUUGGCCGAAGGAAGAUGGUACGCAACGCAGCAGGUGCUCCCGGACGGCCGCUUCAUCGUGGUCGGCGGGCGGCGAUCGUUCAGCUAUGAGUUCGUCCCGGCCGCCGGCCAGUUGAACACCCAAUUCACUCCCCUCCCGCUUCUUCAACAAACGACCGAUGACGUGGAGAACAACCUGUACCCCUUCGUCCACCUCCUCCCGGAGGGGACCAUCUUCCUCUUCGCCAACGACCGCUCCAUCAUUUUCGACCCCCAGAACGGGCAGGUCCUCCGCGAGCUCCCGAAGCUCAACGGCGGUGCACGGAACUACCCUGCCUCCGGCAUGUCCGCUCUCCUUCCCCUCGACCUCCGCCGCGGCGAGAGGCUGAGCGCGGAGGUGAUAGUCUGCGGCGGCGCCCCCAAGGAAGCCUUCAAGCUCGGCGAGGCCAACAAGUUCCCGCACGCGCUCCGGGACUGCGGGCGCAUCAACCCAUCUAAGCCCGGGGCGCGGUGGGCGAUCGACUUCAUGCCAGUGGGCCGCGUGAUGGGCGACAUGCUCAUACUGCCCACCGGAGACCUCCUGCUGCUCAACGGCGCCGCCCAGGGCUGCUCGGGGUGGGUUUUCGCCCGGGAGCCGGUGCUGACCCCGCUUCUCUACUCUCCGCGGAAACGACGGGGCGCGCGGUUCCGCGCCCUACCCGCGUCCAACAUUCCACGCAUGUACCACUCCAGCAGCGCGGUGCUGCCCGACGCCACCGUGCUCGUGGCCGGCGGCAACACCAACUCGGCCUACAACUUCUCUGGCGUCGACUUCCCGACGGAGGUGCGCGUCGAGCGGUACACCCCGCCGUACCUCGCCCCGGAGCUUGUCGCCUCCAGGCCGGAGAUCGACCUGGCGUCGGUCCCAGCGAACGGGGUGAAGUACGGGGACAAGCUCACGCUCAGGUUCACGUCGCGCGGGCCAGCCGUGGUCGAGGCCGACAUGAAGGUGACCAUGUACGCGCCGCCGUUCACCACACACGGCUUCUCGCAGAACCAGCGGCUGCUGGUACUGCAGGUCACCGCGUUCAAGCCAGAAGGGAACAAGUACAAGGUCACGGCCCAGGCGCCGUCGAAGCCGACCCUCGCGCCGCCAGGCUACUACUUGGUGUUCGUUCUGGUCAAGGGGGUGCCGAGCAAAGCCGCUUGGGUGAAGAUACACCCCUGA
rnacentral:rRNA from 1 species